CCCUUAUUCAGAGUGAUGGAGAUACAAAGGAUCUGAGAAGUCACGGCAACCCCAGAAGAAUGGAAGGUGCCAGCCUGAGCGAGGAACCGCAGACGCGCGGCAAAUCGAGCAAUAAGAG
rnacentral:ncRNA from 2 species